UGGGGAAUCUUGCGCAAUGGGGGAAACCCUGACGCAGCGACGCCGCGUGCGGGAUGAAGGCCUUCGGGUUGUAAACCGCUUUCAGCAGGGACGAGGCCUUAUGGUGACGGUACCUGCAGAAGAAGCUCCGGCUAAAUACGUGCCAGCCGCCGCGGUAAUACGCAUGGAGCAAGCGUUAUCCGGGUUCAUUGGGCGUACAGCGCUCGUAGGCGGUCUGUUAGGGCGGCAAGUUAAAUCCGGGGGCUCAACCCCCGUCCGCUUCCGAUACCGGCAGACUUGAGUUUGGUAGGGGAAGGGGGAAUUCCUGGUGUAGCGGUGGAAUGCGCAGAUAUUAGGAAGAACACCGGUGGCGAAGGCGGCCUUCUGGGCCAUAACUGACGCUGAGGAGCGAAAGCUAGGGGAGCGAACAGG
rnacentral:rRNA from 1 species